rnacentral:lncRNA from 1 species
AACAGAAACAGGAGAAGCUGAAGGGGGAGGGCUACAUCCAGCCCAGGCUCUGUGGUUACUCCUAGAGGAAGAAUGACCUAACAGAGAUUCAUGGGAGGUGCUGGAUGACUCUGAAAGCACAGCCAUUGUGCUUUUAGACCUGGCCUGAGAGUUCACACAACACAGCAAGUACGCUUGGAUUUGGAUGUGCCCAGCAGAGGUGCCUCACGACAUGGGAGUGGAUAUCUUGUCUUCCAGCUGGCCAAGUCCCCAAGCACAGCUUCCUGAUGUGAGAAACAGCCUGUGCCCUGAGGAACCUGCCCACAGGACAUUCCCUGAGGCCUCGGGAGAUGAGGGCACUCUAUGACGAGGAAGCCUGAUUUGUAGCCAGCUCUGCACAGUGCGAAUCCCAAGGUGCUGGCCUAAGGGCUCCGGGGCUCCUACAGUGGAAACAGUUUUCAGGUGACUAAACUAGAAGAUCGAAGUCACCAGAACCAUUUGGAGAGGCUGCUGAGCCCAUGGCUCCUGCUAGGAAUGGUGUGCACCUUGCAGUUUAUGAGGAGGAGCUGUGCUGUGUUGAGAAACUGCAGCUUGCUGCUGUCAUUAGUGCCAUGGGGAACUUGCUGGAGCCGUUCCUGACCUGUAAAUCCUGAACCAGAAGAUUGGGUAGAGCAUGACACCUCCCCCCCCCCAGGGGUUGGGAACAGAAGUGUUACCACCCACGCCUUCUACAACAGUGGACACACACCUAAGAACCAACCUGGGAGGAGCUACAAUGUUUCUUGUCACCCACACCUGGAAGAAUUUGGCUGAUAGUGCCACCUCCCGGCUGGUUCUGAUCUUGCAGGAACUCUUUGCUGAAUUUCCAUAGUUACUGUACAUAUUUGGACAUGGCUUUUUUUUUUUUUUCAUAUGUAAUAGCAAGUUUCACCAAGGCUUUUGGGGCAAUGUUGCUUUGUGCUCUCGUGUUACAUGGUAAAGGACGAUGCAUUAUCAUUUUCGACGGUCUCACUGGUCUGCCUGGAGAUGUAGCUUUCCGAGUAAACCCGGGCACAGAGGAAGCCAGGCAUCUUAUUCUUCCUUCUCAUACACCACACAUCCUUCAUGAUCUUCAUGAAGUAGUUUCUGAAUUUCUGUCCAAUAAACGCAUACAACACGGGGUUGAGGCAGCAAUGCAGGAAAGCCAGGACCUCGGCCACGUUCCUGGUGUAGGCGAGGACUUUCUCGGUGCUGCAGCUCCGGCCCACUUUGCCCGUGUUGACCGCAGUCACGAGGAGGACCAUGUUGUGAGGGAUCUGACAAGCCAGGAACACGAGAACCACAGCGAUCACGACUCGGAUUGCUCUGUGCCUCUUGGAGUUCUGGGCCUGCACCAAGGUCUUGAUAAUGAACAGAUAGCAGAACACCAUAAACAGCAAAGGGGUGAAGAACCCAAAGAACAGCUCCAGUCCCAUACCCAGCAGCUUCCACGUGAUGGGCUCUGAGACAGACCUGUACCGUGGCUCACAGACAUCACGAUCCUGCAGCUCGUAUUUCUUGUUGAAGAUAAAUGUAGGGCUUGAGAUGAUGAUGGAGAUGAACCACACUGCCACACAGAUGACCUUACUGUGCGUCAGUGUUCUGGAGCGUACCCGGAAAGAUUUGGUUGCCUGGACGAUGGCAAUGUACCGGUCCAUGCUGAUACAGGCCAGGAGCAGCAUCCCACAGUUAAAGUUGACCGCAUAUGUGCCUUUCAUCAGUUUACACAGUGCAUCGCUGAAAACCCAAGUGUUGGUGGCAUGAGUAACUGCCCAGAACGGUAGGGUGAGGACAAAGAGUAUGUCUGUGAUGGCCAUGUUCAACAGGUAGACGUCAGUCAUGGAUCUGGCUUUCUUGUAGAAGGCAAAGGUCAUCACCACCAUAAUGUUGCCCAGGAGGCCAAAGACACAUAUUAAGGAGUAGGCAAUUGGCACAAAUACCUUGGUGAAGUUUCUGACCUCUUCUAGGGAGCAUGGCCCAUGGUCUGGAGGAAUAGAAUAAUACUCUGUGUUGUCAUAAUCA